CCUACGGGGGGCAGCAGUGAGGAAUAUUGGUCAAUGGACGAGAGUCUGAACCAGCCAAGUAGCGUGAAGGAUGACUGCCCUAUGGGUUGUAAACUUCUUUUGUAUGGGAAUAAAAUGUUCCACGUGUGGGUUUUUGUGUGUACCAUAUGAAUAAGGAUCGGCUAACUCCGUGCCAGCAGCCGCGGUAAUACGGAGGAUCCGAGCGUUAUCCGGAUUUAUUGGGUUUAAAGGGUGCGUAGGUGGAUUGUUAAGUCAGUGGUGAAAGUUUGCGGCUCAACCGUAAAAUUGCAGUUGAAACUGGCAGUCUUGAGUACAGUAGAGGUGGGCGGAAUGCGCGGUGUAGCGGUGAAAUGCUUAGAUAUCACGAAGAACUCCGAUUGCGAAGGCAGUGCACUGGACUGCAACUGACACUGAGGCUCGAAAGUGUGGGUAUCAAACAGGAUUAGAUACCCCAGUAGUC
rnacentral:rRNA from 1 species